AUGGAAUGUGACAGAACAUUCUGUAUCCUCUGCAGACACAUUUGAGGGCUCUGGCCGCUCUGGUGGGAUCCCAGCCCCACUGAAGGCUGUCCUGAGAGCAGCAGGUCAGACCAGGUGACUCCUUCGAUCCCUGAUACCUGAUUAGACCCGGAAGUCACCAGACCCAUCCCCACAAGUCAGACGUUCUCCUAGACACCAGGAACCGCCACUCGGUGACUAGUGAACCUCUAUUGGCAGAGACUAAGAAAAAGCCCUGACCGCUAUUAAGGACCGAUUAUUCCAAGGACUCAGAGUCCUUUGGAGGUUGGAAACAGGGUUCCUGGCAUGAACGUACACGGAGAGGCAAUUUCACAUCCUCUCCUCUGCUUUCACGGAGGAAAGCAGGCAAAAAGGAAGUGAGGAAAGGAAGUGAGGAAAGGAAUCAGAUCACCUCAACUUUUAUUUCCCCCCCAUGGCCACAGGACCGGGCUGCAGCUGUAGAUGCCAGAGACAGGACUGGUUCCUAAGCCGGCCGUUGUUACUAUGUUUUUAAACACUUAUGUCAGGGGCACUUGGGUGUCUCCGUCGGUUGAGCGUCUGACUUCGGCUCAGGUCGUGACUUCCCGGUUUGUGAGUUCGAGCCCCACGUCGGGCUCACUGCCCUCAGACUGUCAGUGCACGACCCGCUUCAGAUUCACUGUCCUCCUCUCUGUGCGCCUCCCCUGCUUGCGCUCUCCCCAAAGCAAAUAAAUGUUUUAAACAUU